GUUGCCUCGGCGGGAUCUCUGCCCCGGGUGCGUCGCAGCCCCGGACCAAGGCGCCCGCCGGAGGACCAACCAAAACUCUUUUUGUAUACCCCCUCGCGGGUUUUUUAUAAUCUGAGCCUUCUCGGCGCCUCUCGUAGGCGUUUCGAAAAUGAAUCAAAACUUUCAACAACGGAUCUCUUGGUUCUGGCAUCGAUGAAGAACGCAGCGAAAUGCGAUAAGUAAUGUGAAUUGCAGAAUUCAGUGAAUCAUCGAAUCUUUGAACGCACAUUGCGCCCGCCAGUAUUCUGGCGGGCAUGCCUGUCCGAGCGUCAUUUCAACCCUCGAACCCCUCCGGGGGGUCGGCGUUGGGGAUCGGCCCUGCCUCUUGGCGGUGGCCGUCUCCGAAAUACAGUGGCGGUCUCGCCGCAGCCUCUCCUGCGCAGUAGUUUGCACACUCGCAUCGGGAGCGCGGCGCGUCCACAGCCGUUAAACACCCAACUUCUGAAAUGUUGACCUCGGAUCAGGUAGGAAUACCCGCUGAACUUAAGC
rnacentral:rRNA from 1 species